rnacentral:misc_RNA from 1 species
AAGUCGUAACAAGGUUUCCGUAGGUGAACCUGCGGAAGGAUCAUUAACACGUGAAAACGUAUUAAUCCAAUACCUUUCAACAACCUGUGAAUUUUCACCUCUCCCUAAUACGAUGAUACUGUUUCAUAUAGUAAGUGGUGGGAUAGCAAGUUUUUACUUCUAUCAGAUACUAUAUGAAUACUAAGGCUUCGAGCCUAAGGUAUCAUUUGUUUUAGGCUUUUUUUUACUAUUCUCUAUCACUAGAGUAGUAAAUUUUACAAACCCUUUUCACCCUUUAAUUUAAAAAAUCUGUCUGAGAAUAAUGUUGAUUGUAAAGAAAUUUACUAGUUCAACAUCAAUUUAUCUUAAACUAAGCACAACUCUUAGCAAUGGAUAUCUUGGUUCUC